rnacentral:rRNA from 1 species
GGCGGAUCCGCGGCCGCUGCAGAGUUUGAUCCUGGCUCAGGACGAACGCUGGCGGCGUGCCUAAUGCAUGCAAGUCGAACGCAGCAGCUUCGGCUGGCUGCGUGGCGAACGGCUGAGGAACACGUGGGUGACCUGCCCCAGAGUGGGGGAUACCCCGUCGAAAGACGGAUAAUCCCGCAUACGCUCUACGGAGGAAAGCCCCUACGGGCGCUCUGGGAGGGGCCUGCGGCCAUCAGGUUGUUGGUGUGGUAACGGCGCACCAAGCCACUGACGGGUACCCGGUCUGAGAGGACGGCCGGGCAGACUGGGACUGCGACACGGCCCAGACUCCUACGGGAGGCAGCAGCAAGGAAUUUUCCCCAAUGGGCGCACGCUGAGGGAGCAACGGCGCGUGGAGGACGACGGCCUUCGGGUUGUAAACUCCUUUCGGGUGGGACGACAGCGACGGUACCACCAGAAGGAGCCCCGGCUAACUCUGUGCCAGCAGCCGCGGUAAGACAGAGGGGGCAAGCGUUGUCCGCAGUUACUCGGCGUAAACGGCCCGGACCCCUCUUC